rnacentral:rRNA from 1 species
UACGGAGGGUGCGAGCGUUGUCCGGAAUCAUUGGGCGUAAAGAGCUCGUAGGCGGUGUGUCACGUCGGCCGUGAAAACCUGCAGCUUAACUGUGGGCGUGCGGUCGAUACGGGCAUCACUGGAGUUCGGCAGGGGAGACUGGAAUUCCUGGUGUAGCGGUGAAAUGCGCAGAUAUCAGGAGGAACACCGGUGGCGAAGGCGGGUCUCUGGGCCGAUACUGACGCUGAGGAGCGAAAGCGUGGGGAGCGAACAGG